UACAAUGUUACCAAACCCUGCGUGAAUUGUCUCGCUGUAUUUUUACAGCAUAUGCACAUAUUUUGUCCACCUUUGGAUGGGUGACAAGCUUACAUACAUACAUAUGUCCAUACACAUUAGUGCCUAGUCAUCUUGGUCAAUGACGAGUCAUUUCUCCUUGGUCACGUGGGAAUGACUAAAUUCAGCCAGAAAAUUUCCAUCCGUAUCUACCAGAGAGAUGACACGUCUUCUUCUUCUUUCUUACCGCUUGGCUGACCAGAUAAGCUACGUUCAUCCAUCGUUCCCACCCCACAAAAAAUCCUCCCCCAAGAAUUUUCAUUUCUCCGUAAUGAAACUCUUUCGAUUCUGGAUUGGACCAGUCCAUUUCAGUCAGACGACGAUGGAACGACAGGUAUUUUUCAUUCUUCUACUUCUUCUUCACGACGAUGGAUGUAGAUCCAUAGCGCACUUUUUUCUUCUCCUUCCCCUUUAAAAGUCGUGAGUCGUGUUGUGGGACAAAAAAUAGGAUUAGAAAUUUGAAAUGCUCAUCAGCAUGACUCUCUCUCUCCGCUCAGCCCAAUUGUUCUCAUUCUAAAGAAACUCCACGGUCUGAGACUGCCAACGCUCAGUCACACCUCCCCCCUCAACCCUUUCGCAGCUAGAGAGAUAGAUGCUGCAUUCUUCCAUCUCCUCAUUUCCUCCUACCUGUGUCUUGUCUCAAUCAUCAAAUAAGCAUCAUCAGCGUGAUGCACACACCGACCGACCACCUUUCGUUUGUACGUACAAACGUAUGCACGUAGACUUGCGAAUCUAAAAAUUCAAUCAGUAAUCAGUGCUGCGUCGAGGAGUGAAGACAGAGAGAGAGUGGGGAAGGGGGGAAAUUGUCACCAAGAUGGAUAUGGGAAUUUUUUUGAGGGGAGGGGGAUUUAUUUCGGCCUGUUUUUUAAAAAUUUGGUAGGUGUUAAUUAGCCAAAUUUUGUCACAGUAUUUGUUUAAAGGGAGGUACAAUAUUGAGAUACAAUUUUGCCCAAGUAAGGAAUAGUAAUUGUCAAAUUUAUCAUCGCAGAGAAAUUAAUUAAUGGAGGAGCUUAGAUUUUAUUUUUUUAAAUCGUUGCCGACGAGGUGUGCAUUUUGUCCCGGUGAAAAAUUGUCAUCAUAGUCAAUAGUAAAAUCUGGGUAAAUUGUAGGAAUAUAAAAUUCUAGAAAUUUAUCAUUUUUCUUUUCGGGUGAGAAAUUUAUUACAAGAAAAUAGAUUUUACAUAGAAAUAGAAACAGAUUUUACUUUCGUACAUUGAAAAAAUCGUUACCAACCCGAUGUCACUUUUGUCCCCGUAUUAUUUAGAGUGUCCCCAACAACGAACAUUAACACCUCUUCCAACCUGGUGCCUCUGUCCCCAGUUAAACACCUCACCUCACCUACCUCGGGGCGGACUAAGAUAACACAACGCAGUCAAUUCCUCCUCACAACAAAAGAGAAAGUUUCUAGAGAAAGGUGUGCUGCUGAUAUCUCUCCUCCGAAAAAGUGACAAUGUUUGAUGUCCUCGUCCCACCGUGGUGUGUUCCCUCUGGGGAAGAGUAAACAUGUCAUGUGGUCCAUUUGUCACCUGGUCUCGUUGUGUUAUGUUCUCUCUCUCUCUCUGCUUUGUUUGUUGACACCUUGCCGGUCGAUUUUCCGUGCCUGGUACGAACCAACGAAAUGGAGAAAGCAGAUUUUUUUUCUCUCUCUCACCACCACCACGAACGGAGCAGACUCAGCAAAAGACUGGAUUCGUGGAUUGCCCACCCAAAAGAGCCCAACUUUCUCUCCAUGUACAGCCAACCAGACCAGACCACCAGACCAGUCAGGAGAAAGCCGUCGUCCGAGAAGGAGGAAUACCCACCCCGAAAAACACGCCACACUCUUAACCUACCCUGUAGAUCCGGGCUUUUGUAGAGUAGCAUGGGUGUCCCCAAAACACCUCAGAAGCUCGUUUCUACAGGUAUCUCAAGGGUGCUGAGCUAAUCAACAAGGAGAGAAAAUCACCAGAGAAAACAGCCCCUUUCGGAUUAAAUAAGGACCCUUUUGGGACAAAGUAACAAAAAAAACCGAGUGGAGAAAGUAGCAGCUCUCUUCGCUUAAGUUGAUGGAGUGGUCACUAAAACGAAACAGAAAUCGUGUCGGAUAAUCAAUUUUCUCCACCCGUAACAAUUAUCUCUCGAUAACAAGAAGGCGUUACGAUUAUUGGGAAACUUUCUCAAAAAAAUAACCAACUUUCUCCCACCUAUGGCUCCCAGAAUCGUCGCCGUCCAUUUCUCGGCCCCCCUGGGAAUUUUAUGAUUAUUAUGACUGACCCCCUACCUACCUAGCUGCGUACCAUCAUCACGGAUCGUAUCGGGGUAGAUACAGGACUACCCGCACCAGGAUUUUCUACCAUGCACACACAAUGGAGCCAAAUCUCUGCCGAUGAUUGAUGAGGUUGUCAAUUCCAUGCAGAAGAAAGAACACGAAGGAAGAAGGAGAGAACUCACCAACCAAAAAUCAAUUCCUUGCUAUAUACGAACGAACGUGGUUUGGAUGGAUGCUUUCUCCAUUAUGUGGACGUGGACAUGGACGAAAGGAGGAAAGGAAAGGAGGAGGAGGAGACGGCGUCGGAACUUCAGACUCAAUCAGCAUCAUCAAACAAGAAGGAGGCGAAAGUUGGAGAGACUAAAUCUAAAUCGGGGGCGGCCGUGGGAUGAUGGAUAGAUAACGAGAAAUGGAAAUCUAUAUAACGAAUUAGUAUCUCGCUACGCGCGACUAGUUUCACUGGAUGGGAGAGAGAGAAGAAGAGGUUACAUUUAUCUUGUGAAGAGGAGAAAGGAUGAAUUUUUUAGGGAGAGAGCAAGAGAGAUAGGAAUUUUUUUGGAAAAUAUUUUAGUUUUUGAAGAGAUUUUUGUUGGGGCGGAGUUGUUUUGUUUUGGAUUAUACUUUUUAAAUAAAUACCGUAUUUUGACUAAAAUACGGUAUACGGGGGGUGUAGAUUUGAUAUUUUUUUAGAGUUUAUAUUUUAGGGGAGAUUUUUGUUCUGUUUGAAAUAUUUGUUGGUUUUUUGAGGAGAGAUUUUUUAGAGUUUGGAAUUUUUGAUCAUCCUAGUUUAGAGUUUAAGGGAUUAAUUUGUGUCUUUCCCCAUGUGAAAUAAUGUGGUAGGAAAAUUGUGUUCGUAACGAUUCAAGUAAAUAAUUGUCCGGGAAAUUAAAAUUUGUAGAAUUUUAUAAGUCCUAUUAUUUACAAUUUUUCCAUAGAUUAUAGGUUUUGAUUUUAGACUAAAUGUUUAAUUUUAUUUUUGACUAGUAUAUGUACUUAUUAACAAAUUUGUCACCUUAUGUUAGUAACGAUCUAAAUAAUCCUCCGCCAAAUUCAAAUUUGCACUUACGUAAUAUUUCGAACCCAAUUAUUCCAACUUAUUCCCACCCUCCGAGACAAUUUUGUCCUAACUCAACCCUUUCCUACCCACAAUUUUUCCUCCAUGUACUUUAAUCCGAAACAAAGCCUCCAAAAUUACGAAAUUACACCCGUUUUAAUCUCUCCUCCUCAACCUACGUACUUACGCGACACCAAACUUGGUCUCCAUCUCCGCAUCGCAUUAUUGCAUUAUUACGAAAGAAAAAAAGGUCUCGAAAUAAAAUAAAAUAAAAUAAAAUAAACUACA